rnacentral:piRNA from 1 species
UGCCAGGAGACCUUAGAAAAUGGCUCACCUAU